AUACGGAGGAUACGAGCGUUAUCCGGAUUUACUGGGUUUAAAGGGUGCGCAGGCGGGAGAUUAAGGCGGUGGUGAAAUUUGGCACGUCUACGGUAGAAGUGCCUUCGACACCGGCUUCCUUGAGUGUGUGAGUAGAAGGCGGACGUCUGGGGAUAUCCGCGAAAUGCAUAGAUAUCUCGAGGAAGACCGAUUGCGCAGGCAGCUUACUAAACUACUACUGACGCUCAGGCACGAAGGCGUGGGGAUCAAACAGGAUUAGAUUCCCUGGUAGUCCACGCAGUAAACGAUGAUUACUAGCUGUUUGCGAUACAAUGUAAGCGGCUGAGCGAAAGCGUUAAGUAAUCCACCUGGGGAGUGCGUUCGCAAGAAUGAAACUCAAAUGAAUUGACGGGG
rnacentral:rRNA from 1 species